rnacentral:rRNA from 1 species
AGUCGAACGAACUUAGGCCUAGCUUGCUAGGAACGGUUAGUGGCAGACGGGUGCGUAACGCGUGGGAAUCUACCUAAUAGUAUGGAAUAACCAUUGGAAACGAUGGCUAAUACCGUAUACGCCCUUCGGGGGAAAGAUUUAUCGCUAUUAGAUGAGCCCGCGUUAGAUUAGCUUGUUGGUAGGGUAAUGGCCUACCAAGGCGACGAUCUAUAGCUGGUCUGAGAGGAUGAUCAGCCACACUGGGACUGAGACACGGCCCAGACUCCUACGGGAGGCAGCAGUGGGGAAUAUUGGACAAUGGGCGAAAGCCUGAUCCAGCAAUGCCGCGUGAGUGAAGAAGGCCCUCGGGUUGUAAAACUCUUUCAGCAGGGAAGAUAAUGACGGUACCUGCAGAAGAAGCCCCGGCUAACUCCGUGCCAGCAGCCGCGGUAAUACGGAGGGGGCUAGCGUUGCUCGGAAUCACUGGGCGUAAAGCGCGCGUAGGCGGCUUCACAAGUUGGAAGUGAAAGCCCGGGGCUCAACCCCGGAAUUGCUUUCAAAACUGUAAAGCUAGAGAGUGGUAGAGGAUAGUGGAAUUCCCGGUGUAGAGGUGAAAUUCGUAGAUAUCGGGAGGAACACCAGAGGCGAAGGCGGCUAUCUGGGCCAUUUCUGACGCUAAGGCGCGAAAGCGUGGGGAGCAAGCAGGAUUAGAUACCCUGGUAGUCCACGCUGUAAACGAUGGGUGCUAGGUAUUGGGGUUUUA